rnacentral:rRNA from 1 species
GGGUCAGUAGGUUGGUCGUGCCACCGGUACGUACUGGUCUCACUGAUUCCUCCUUCCUGAAGAACCGUAAUGCCAUUAAUUUGGUGUUGCGGGGAAACAGGACUGUUACUUUGAAAAAAUUAGAGUGUUUAAAGCAAGCUAACGCUUGCAUACAUUAGCAUGGAAUAAUGAAAUAGGACGAUCGAUCCUAUUUUGUUGGUUUCUAGGAUUGACGUA